rnacentral:rRNA from 1 species
GAUGAACGCUAGCGGCAGGCUUAAUACAUGCAAGUCGAGGGGCAGCAUGAUUGUAGCAAUACAAUUGAUGGCGACCGGCAAACGGGUGCGGAACACGUACACAACCUUCCAAUAAGUGGGGAAUAGCCCAGAGAAAUUUGGAUUAAUACCCCGUAACAUAACGAUGUGGCAUCACAUUGUUAUUAUAGAUUUUUCGCUUAUUGAUGGGUGUGCGGCUGAUUAGAUAGUUGGCGGGGUAACGGCCCACCAAGUCUACGAUCAGUAGCUGAUGUGAGGGCAUGAUCAGCCACACGGGCACUGAGACACGGGCCCGACUCCGACGGGAGGCAGCAGUAAGGAAUAUUGGACAAUGGACGCAAGUCUGAUCCAGCCAUGCCGCGUGAAGGAUUAAGGUCCUCUGGAUUGUAAACUUCUUUUAUAAGGGACGAAAAAAGGCUUUUCUAAGUCGUCUGACGGUACCUUAUGAAUAAGCACCGGCUAACUCCGUGCCAGCAGCCGCCGCGGUAA